rnacentral:rRNA from 1 species
CCUACGGGUGGCAGCAGUGGGGAAUAUUGCACAAUGGGCGCAAGCCUGAUGCAGCCAUGCCGCGUGUGUGAAGAAGGCCUUCGGGUUGUAAAGCACUUUCAGCGGGGAGGAAGGCGGUGAGGUUAAUAACCUCAUCGAUUGACGUUACCCGCAGAAGAAGCACCGGCUAACUCCGUGCCAGCAGCCGCGGUAAUACGGAGGGUGCAAGCGUUAAUCGGAAUUACUGGGCGUAAAGCGCACGCAGGCGGUCUGUCAAGUCGGAUGUGAAAUCCCCGGGCUCAACCUGGGAACUGCAUUCGAAACUGGCAGGCUAGAGUCUUGUAGAGGGGAGUAGAAUUCCAGGUGUAGCGGUGAAAUGCGUAGAGAUCUGGAGGGAUACCGGUGGCGAAGGCGGCCCCCUGGACAAAGACUGACGCUCAGGUGCGAAAGCGUGGGGAGCAAACAGGAUUAGAUACCCCGGUAGUC